GUAGAGAAUCGUUGCUUCUUUCUUUCUUUGUUGUAAAGCUGCGGCUCUAGUCGCGACGCCCCCUGCUGACCCGCAGCUGUAGCUCUGAGCGCUGACUGAGUGUUGCGGAAGCCGAGUACAAACAGCGUAGAUUAGAAACAGCGUAGGACGAGGAGGGCAGCGCUGCGGCCACCGCACUGGGGCAGGUCCGCAAGUGACGUUUCCGGGCGGGCUGGACUUCGCCGCUCGUGCGCCUAUAACGCGCGGCAGCGCGAGCUCAGGGCGGCACAGCGAGUCGCGCGGCCGUCCAUCCGCGCGCUCCAGCGAGGCGACGGUGGGGGCGCAGCUCCGAGCAGCGGCAGCCUCCCGAGAUGUGCGCCAGCGCGCGAGCCGGCGACUCCGUCCGCGUGACGAUGCGUGGAGGAGCACCGUGGGGGUUCCAGCUGCAAGAUGGGAAGGAGCAUCACGGACCACUCGUUGUGUCUCAGGUGGACAGCGGCGGCAGGGCCGCCCAGGCCGGCCUCCUGGAGGGGGACGAGGUGGCGUCAUUGAAUGGGGAGCCCGCCUCCGACCUCGCCCCCCAGGACAUCGCCGCCCGCCUCGAAGGUCCCGCCGACAGCCUGGAGCUGCUGGUCAGGAGGUAACGGCUGCAUAUCGGUCACGGCGUGAGACCCCCGAGCCAGGAGAGGCUCUGCGAGGCCUUUCGAGGGCUUUCCUAUAUAAGGCAGUUGCUUCUGCUUUUAAUUCGGUUAAAUAAACAACGUGCUCCUUGUUGGCGUGCUCUCAGCAUCGCCCUGCGCCCGUGUUUACUUACCACUGUUCUUCGCAAGACCACAUUGUUAAAGGCUGCUUAUUUUACUUAUUCAUUUGAAGCGUAAAAUCAGAAUUCUUCUAAACUUACAGUAUAUAUGGAACCGUGUUCAUAUUAUACCAUGGUUAGAGCUGUCACCUUGCACUUAAGGAGCCCAGGUUUGAAUCCCACCUGCUUCUGUAGUAUCCUUGACCAAGGGGAUUACUCUGAAUUGGUGCUGUAAGAAUUACCCAGCUGUAUAAGUAGAAAAAAAUCAAUAAAUAAAAAAUAAAUGGAAGCA
rnacentral:lncRNA from 1 species